AGCUCCAAUAGCGUAUAUUAAAGUUGUUGCAGUUAAAAAGCUCGUAGUUGGAUCUUGGGACGUUUGUGGGAUCUGGUCUGCCUUGAUGGUGUGUACUGGUCUCGCCGUUCUUUCCUACUGGAUACUCGCCGCUGCACUUAAUUGGGUGGCGGUCUGUGCCUUUCGGGGCCGGGUUCCAGUUCGUUUACUUUGAAAAAAUUAGAGUGUUCAAAGCAGGCGUUCGCCUGAAUACAUUAGCAUGGGAUAAUGGAAUAGGACUUUGGUUCUAUUUUGUUGGUUUAUCGAGCCAAAGUAAUGAUUAACAGGGACAGUUGGGGGCAUUAGUAUUUUGUUGUCAGAGGUGAAAUUCUUGGAUUUACGAAAGACUAACUUCUGCGAAAGCAUUUGUCAAGGAUGUUUUCA
rnacentral:rRNA from 1 species